rnacentral:antisense_RNA from 1 species
CUUGAUCGAGCCCAGCCAGAGCGGCCGGUCGUCCGGCCGGUCCUGGCCGUAGGUGGCGAUCAGCGCUUCGGCCUC